rnacentral:rRNA from 1 species
GACGAACCGUGCAAACGUUGUUCGGAAUCACUGGGCUUAAAGGGCGCGUAGGCGGGCAGGCAAGUCGAAGGUGAAAUCCCACGGCUCAACCGUGGAAGUGCCCCCGAUACUGCCUGUCUCGAGGGAGAUAGGGGCGUGCGGAACUUCCGGUGGAGCGGUGAAAUGCGUAGAUAUCGGAAGGAACACCGGUGGCGAAAGCGGCGCGCUGGAUCUCUUCUGACGCUGAUGCGCGAAAGCCAGGGGAGCAAACGGG